rnacentral:rRNA from 2 species
UUAAAUUGAAGAGUUUGAUCAUGGCUCAGAUUGAACGCUGGCGGCAGGCCUAACACAUGCAAGUCGAACGGUAACAGGAAGAAGCUUGCUUC